rnacentral:snRNA from 1 species
GACAAACAGUAUUGGCAGUAUCAUAACCAAUGAAGUUAAUCUGAGGUGUGAUUAUUGCUUGUUGAAAACUUUUCCCAAUUACUUGUUUCUGUAUUUAGGCAUGAUCUUAUGAGGU